rnacentral:rRNA from 1 species
AGAACGAACGCUGGCGGCGUGGAUAAGACAUGCAAGUCGAACGGGGCGUUAUUUGUAGCAAUACAAAUGAUGUUCAGUGGCGUAAGGGUGCGUAACACGUGGGCAAUCUGCCGAAAAGUGGGGGAUAGCUCGCCGAAAGGCGAAUUAAUACCGCAUGUGGCUUGUGGAGACAUCUUCACUGGGCCAAAGCCGGGGCAACCUGGCGCUUUUUGAUGAGCCCGCGGCCCAUCAGCUAGUUGGCGAGGUAAAAGCUCACCAAGGCUAUGACGGGUAGCUGGUCUGAGAGGACGACCAGCCACACUGGAACUGAGACACGGUCCAGACACCUACGGUGGCAGCAGUCGAGAAUUUUCACAAUGGACGAAAGUCUGAUGGAGCGACGCCGCGUGGAGGAUGAAGGUUUUCGGAUUGUAAACUCCUGUCACUGCAGAACAAGGGUGCGUUAUGAAUAGUAAUGCAUUGAUGGUAUGGCGGAGAGGAAGGA